GACAAUUGUCAGUAUAAGAGUUUGGCAUGAUUUCUGAAAUCAUGUAUCCUGAUGCC
rnacentral:sRNA from 1 species